AAACCAUGACUUGGAAAUUUCUACAAAUACUAUUUCAAUCUCUACUAAGCUUCAUAUAAUUUUUCCCCUAGUCACUGUUUGAAUUCAUAGAUUUUGUCAUGAAUCU